rnacentral:rRNA from 1 species
CGCGUGCCUAACACUUGCAAGUCGAGCGAUGAAACCCUUCGGGGUGGAUUAGCGGCGGACGGGUGAGUAACACGUGGGUAACCUGCCUCAAAGAGGGGAAUAGCCUCCCGAAAGGGAGAUUAAUACCGCAUAAUAUGUUUUGGUCGCAUGAUUGAAACAUCAAAGGAAUUUUCUUUUAGAGAAUUCCACUUUGAGAUGGACCCGCGGCGCAUUAGCUAGUUGGUGAGGUAACGGCCCGCCAAGGCAACGAUGCGUAGCCGACCUGAGAGGGUGAUCGGCCACAUUGGAACUGAGACACGGUCCAGACUCCUACGGGAGGCAGCAGUGGGGAAUAUUGCGCAAUGGGGGAAACCCUGACGCAGCAACGCCGCGUGAAUGAUGAAGGCCUUCGGGUUGUAAAGUUCUGUCUUCUGGGACGAUAAUGACGGUACCAGAGGAGGAAGCCACGGCUAACUACGUGCCAGCAGCCGCGGUAAUACGUAGGCGGCAAGCGUUGUCCGGAUUUACUGGGCGUAAAGGAUGCGUAGGCGGACAUUUAAGUCAGAUGUGAAAUACCCGAGCUUACUUGGGUGCUGAUUUGAACUGGUGUCUAAA